AUAUGCUUGUCCCUAAGACUAAGCCAUGCAUGCCAGAGGUUAAUAGGCUGCCCCCCUAGGUAACUUAUAGGGCUCUGCUCUGGGGGCCGGCCAUUUGACCAGCGAACGGCUCCGUAUAUCUGUUGUAACCUAUCGUGGCGUCCUGGCGUGGAUAAGCACGGAAAAGCUGUGUGUAAACCAGCUAACGGGGAAUUAUGUUGAUCGGCGUGUCUUGCAGCCGCUUCCUCAGGCCUCAUCCGGCAAAUCGAGCGCUUUUCAGCGUGCUGGUGGCCCCCCUAUCCCUCGCCUAAAGUACAGGCGCCUGCGGGCGCUCAUGGAAACGGCGGUCUCUUCUGGGGGAACUUUUCUAGUCAUCGACUGCCCGGUUCUCGGGCAGUUGGUACAGGUGACGGCCCCCCAGUAGAAGAGCCUUACCACCAGAUCACGAUGGGCUUCAGACCUAUCAGCUAGACGGUAGGGUAUUGGCCUACCGUGGCUACGACGGGUACAGAGGAUUAGGGUUUGAUCCUGGAGAGGUAGCCUGAGAAAUCGCUCCCACUUCUAAGGAAGGCAGCAGGCGCGUAACGUUCCCAAUGCACUGCCGGUGUGAGGACGUGACGGGACAUAACAAUGCUCCUUGUGAGUAAUUGACAAAUGGGGUGGGCUUAAACGCCCCACCGAGAAGCGACUGGAGGACAAGUCCGGUGCCAGCACCCGCGGUAAUUCCGGCUCCAGAAGUAUAUAGUUAAUUUGCUGCGGUUAAAACGCUCGUAGUCAAGAACUGGAGGUGAGCGUCUAGCCAAGCGGAAGAACGGGUCCUAGGUUUCCCAGCAGUCGGUCUGGGCCGGUACCUGCCUGGUUGUCGGUGCCCUCCACUUUUGGGGCUGCUGCGCCAGAGAAGGGCCGUGCCGUUACACGCAGAUCGCAGUUUGGGAGCACAGCCUGGUAGUACCCGAACGGCCGCGUGCUGGGGCCCAAAGUAGUUUUUGUGGUCCUGGGAUGCCCUCCACGGACCGGGGCGGCAUGCCCAGUGAAGGAAGGAACUAAUCAUGAACCGGUCAACCCAAGCGAAACUUGGGGGGCCAGGGGCAUGGAUCGUCCUCUGGAUCUCACCUUGCCGUCCAGUGAGCAAGUACUGAGCACGCCCGAUGUAGGGGCCUUUGCGGUGCCCUAUUGACGGCGGGUUAGGCGGUACGCGUAGAUAGGCUCAUGUGGUUCAGGGACUUUGAGCAAACUCAAGCGCUUAAGGUAAGGCCCUUAGCCGGCCACCAGCAUCAGACAGUAGCAAAGUAUCCCACAGCGUUGCUAGGGGCGGCCUCUCACGGGGCUGGACCCUCAGUCGACAAUUACAUCGCAUUUUCGGUAGAGUCACGGAAAGAGGGCUGCUGAAUCUCGCGAGCAUAACGGUAUACAGGGGCAAUCGGGGCCGGCCACAUGGCGGGGGGAGUGGUGAAAUACGAUGAUCCUCGCUGGGUGAACAAACGCGAAAGCAGCCGGCCAGGGUGCGCCCGUUGAUCAAGAACGAAAGCCUGGGGAGCGAAUGUGAUCAGAUACCACAGUAGUCCAGGCCUUAAACGUUGCCAGCUGGAGGCGGGCCCAGGUCAGUGCAGACUUGGCCCGAAUCCUGAGGGAAACCAAAGCU
rnacentral:rRNA from 1 species